rnacentral:tRNA from 1 species
UGCCGAAACCCGGGAUCGAACCAAGGACCUUUAGAUCUUCAGUCUAACGCUCUCCCAACUCAGCUAUUUCGGU